UUAACCUAUCUAUAUAUUUAACAACCUAGCAACCGCAAACUGUGACAGAUUGGCAUGCGGGUCAGAAAGCCAGAAGGACAGUAUAUAUAGCUCCGGGUUGCCAUAACCAGCAUCAUUCCCAUUUUGUUUCCGACAUGUUCUCGGAUUCCCGGCGAGAGUGAGAGGUGAACGGACUGCCUCAUUUCUUCAUGUCACCCUUAGUUCCACGCAGCCGUUACACAUUCCAGCUCAAUAUAGCAAAACAAUGGAAGCUGCUCGCUCCUGAUGGAAACUAUGUCUGGAAAACCCAGAGACAGCCUAUGGGGAUGUGACGUGAUGAACAAAUGACUCGAACCCAUCCCGAAGACUCGAGAGGCAAACUAAUCAUUUCUGUUUCCUGUACUGCAUUGCAUAUGGGACUGUCACGGCCCAGCUCAGACACUGAUGGAACUAACGACUCGAACCCAAAGACACAAGAGGUAUCUAAUCUUUCUGGGGAACAGACGUGAUAAAUGUGAGGUGACAAAAGAAAGAACGACUCGGAUCUGGAGGGUGCCAGUGGGCAGACCUCAAACGAGCUUUAGGGUCAAAUACUUCCCACAAGGAACCACUGAGAGAUAAUCUGGGCUGCCAGGAGUUGGCCAAUGGAAACUGAACUGUUAAAAGUACGUGAUGGAUUGGGAUGAACAUGAAACGUUGGACUGUGAUCCGAUUCAUUAGCCACGUGCCCACCAGCAAGGUUUGUGGGAUCUCCAAACAGCCUCAACAUUAACGUCUGCAGGAGCUCUUUCAUAAUACAACAAAAGCCAGCUGUCUACCUCUAUGACCUUCAAUUUACUGCAGGCUCAAGGGCCACGGCCAGUUCAAAUAGCCCAGGAAAAAAAAAAAAUUAAAUAAAGACAUGAUCUCCCUCUGGAGC